rnacentral:lncRNA from 1 species
UUCCUUUUUCAGGCUCUUUUGAGUUUUGUUGAGCUCAAAUAUCACUUUUUUGAAUUUUAGAACGCACAAGAAAUUAUAAUUUUAUUGAUGAAAUAAAUUUUAUACAGUUUUGCACACACACCAAAAAUCUUAACCAAACACACUAGAGCAUCUCACCAAUUAUUUUGCCAGAUUAUUUCCUCUCACCAAGCAUUAUCUCUCUUCUCACUUCACUCUCUACCUCACGGCUCUCCUGUCACUCUCACUUAUUCUCAC